rnacentral:rRNA from 1 species
UACGGAGGGGGCUAGCGUUGUUCGGAAUUACUGGGCGUAAAGCGUGCGUAGGCGGUUUGUUAAGUCUGUCGUGAAAGCCCCGGGCUCAACCUGGGAAUGGCGAUGGAUACUGGCGAGCUAGAGUACGGUAGAGGAGAGUGGAAUUCCCGGUGUAGCAGUGAAAUGCGUAGAGAUCGGGAGGAACAUCAGUUGCGAAGGCGGCUCUCUGGACCAGUACUGACGCUGAGGCACGAAAGCGUGGGGAGCAAACAGG